UUUUGUAUGAGUUAGCAAUUAUUGAUUAAGUUAAUAAUUUGUAAUAUUUGUGUUGGAGUACGGUUCAGUUGAUCGACGAUUGCCUCCGCCACGGGCAUCACCUCCACCCAGGGCAUCACCUCCAUCCCAGUCCAGAGACCUUCCUCGUGAAUUUCUUCCACGUAGUCAAGGUCAUUAUUUCGAUGAUCUGUAUGCUCGUCUGACUGGAUUUAUGGCGCAGGAGCUCGGCGUGCUACGUCGAGAGAUGAUAGAGAGGGUCGACAAUUUGGGACGACAGUUGGUAGGAAGGGUUGAAGAUUUAUCCGAUGAUGUUAGAGUGCUGCAUAACCAUUACGUGGACCUUCACGAUGAUAUUGUAGCACUCCGAGGUGAUAUAGCCGACAGACGAUUGAGUUGGCGAGCCUGGAGGAGGUGAUGGUCGCCGAGGCGGAGGAGAAGAGGACAACCGCUGUGACUAAAGCUAAAAAGCGUAUUGUUGACGUGUCAGAGCUGUUGGUCGACAAAGAGGUCGAGAGUGUCGUCACAGUACAUCGUCUCUCCUUUCACAACUGAGACGAAAAGCAGUUUCGUCGAUGGGACGUAGCUCAAUCUGUUUCGGGAGGUUGAACAGGCCAAAUGAAAAGUAUUCGAGAUUGAGUGGCGAAGAAUUUUGCCCAGGUAAGUAUUGUAUGAUUUUAGUAGAUCACGAUAACUCGUAUAUGCUUCGUUUAACAUUUUAUCUAUUUAUUUAGAGUCAGCCGUAUGAUAGUUGGAAGGAUGAUAUUGGACACAUAUAAGUGGUUUCAUGAUAUCACCACUCAGGGGACUUGGCUCGCCGACUACGUAAGUAACUCAUAUUGUUACUUUUUUUUAUACUUUAUGUUUGAUUUAUUAAAUGAAAUACCUCUCAUUUUUUUUUGUUUUUCUUAAUGCAGCACAUCGACAUGAUCAUAGGCUUUCUAUGCGAUCGAGCUAAGAGAUAUCCACGAUUAUUCCAAAUUCCUGGUCAAAUAAUACUGAAUAUCGAGUUCUUCCGUGCCGUUAUAAUUAAAUAUCAGGUGCUCCAACUUAUAGGUAAUGAGACAUGCUGUCUGGGUAUAUAUUCAAAUGCGUUAUCAAGCGAUCACCGAGUGUUGUGUAAAAGUCAUAGGAGGGUUAUACGCAUAUGUACAUUUCAGUGAUCGUGAAUCAUCACUGCAUUGCUCUGGAUAUCAUAUUUGUUGACUCGACGUUAUAUGUGUAUGAUCCCGAUCAUUUAUGUCUAACACAAUGGCAGCUAGAGCUGAACUUGGAGCCGGUAAUUAUGAACGUUAAUCUGAUGGCUAGAAAGGCGGGCUUGACUGUGCAGGACAAACUAGCCAUCGUGCGGUCAACGACGAUGUGACAAUCUAUAUCGUAAGUGUUUGUCAAUUAUUUUUAAACAUAUAAAUUAGUUUUUACGUAGUUGGAAUCAAUUAACACAUUAUUGUUCAUUUGUGGGGGGACUGUGGCAUUUUGACUAUCAAGUACAAUAAAUUUUUUAGUAUAGCACAUAAGAUUAAUGGAAUCAACUAGUCAUGAAUACAGAAUUUGCGAAAUAAGUUAGCGUGCGAUUUAUACGAAUUUGAUUGUGA
rnacentral:lncRNA from 1 species